GGAAAAGAAAGAGAGCGUCGGCUUUUGGUAAAAGAGGUCCAGAGGUCCAGACGGCUGCCGCAUUUGCACUUUAUUUAUUUUUGCGCCUGUUUCAAACAUGCUCUAUCUUUUUGCAUCUAUCGCUCUCCUGAAACAUACUUCCUC
ensembl:ncRNA F01E11.11 ncRNA